AACGAACGCUGGCGGCAGGCUUAACACAUGCAAGUCGAGCGCCCCGCAAGGGGAGCGGCAGACGGGUGAGUAACGCGUGGGAAUCUACCCAUCUCUACGGAAUAACGCAUGGAAACGUGUGCUAAUACCGUAUACGUCCUUCGGGAGAAAGAGUUAUCGGAGAUGGAUGAGCCCGCGUUGGAUUAGCUAGUUGGUGGGGUAAAGGCCGACCAAGGCGACGAUCCAUAGCUGGUCUGAGAGGAUGAUCAGCCACACUGGGACUGAGACACGGCCCAGACUCCUACGGGAGGCAGCAGUGGGGAAUAUUGGACAAUGGGCGCAAGCCUGAUCCAGCCAUGCCGCGUGAGUGAUGAAGGCCCUAGGGUUGUAAAGCUCUUUCACCGGUGAAGAUAAUGACGGUAACCGGAGAAGAAGCCCCGGCUAACUUCGUGCCAGCCGCCGCCGUAAAAC
rnacentral:rRNA from 1 species